GAUAAGAGAAGGGCAAGUGCAAAAUCUAAAACAAUGUCUCAUUCGUGAUUAUACAAUUUCUUACAACAUAGUUCGAGCAACCGUCAACCAUGAUUUUUUUGAGGGUUCAAGAGCUAUGCUCUUUGACAAAGACAAGAAACCAAAGACAUGAUAUAUAAUUAAUUAAAUCUUAAAUUUCUCUCUAUUUAAUGGUAAUUGGGAAUUCCUAACCAUUUUCUUUUCUAUUUACAUUCAUAAUUUUUUUAAAUAUUAAUUUAUCACAUAUACUUUUUAAUUAAUACGGUUUAUUGAUUGAUUGAUUUCUCACUUUCCUUAUUGUGCAAUUGGGCAUGGACUAUUACUUCUUUACUUUUAUACAUACUUACUUUGAUUUUUUUUUCCCCAUUUAUAUUUAAAUAAAAUUAUAAUAGCAUAUAUGAGAAAAUUUUCUCUAAAUAGAUUGAUUAUGGAAUUAAUACAUUUAUAUGUGAAUCCCACUUUUGGAUCCACAAUAGAUUAAAUUUAAACAAGAA